CCGUAAUUGUAACAGGAACAGCAGUUUCCAUCUCUCACAUGCUAGGGAUCCCAGAGGUGGAGAGCAGAGAAGGAGGGCUUUGAGAACAGCAGUGUGGGAGGAGGAUGUGUCCAGUGUAUGAGGCUGAGAAAGAGCUUGAGAGUGAGGAAGGAAGAGAGGGAAGAAGACAGAGUGGAGGAAGUUGGUUACCAUGGAAUCCUCCAAUUUUUCUCUUAGGACUUAGCAUACCACAGAUCCCAGGACCUAGAGGUUUGGGAUGUGGCUCAAAUAAUUAUGCGUUUUCCAGGUAGUUUCCAGGCCAAGCCCUUGCUGCCCAUCUGGAGACUCUACUUGGAGACACACUCAUUUGGAGAUGCCAGGAACCUGUUUUUGGAAAGAGGGACUGGGUGUGGGCUGAACAACGGCCCCCAAUAAUAUCCUCGUCCCAGCGGAGGAGUCUGUAAAUGUCUGUUUGUGUGGAAACAGGAACUCCGAGAAUGGGAUUACGUGAACAACCUUGAGAAUGGAACGUGUGGGUCCAUGCUUUGUACUGUAAUAAAAUAUCUGAAGCUUGUUCAUAGGAAAGCCAAGAGGAGUCCUCCCGGAACACCUCACAAAUAUCAGCCGCAGGAGGGCCACAGAAGCAAGACCCUCAGUGGAAUUUUCACAACUUGAGAAGGUCGCAGCGGGCACCACAGCCUUCCUUUUCGUUUAUGCCUUCUCCCUCAGGAGAGACUUCUCAGGACAGUCUCCAUGAUUACACCAUGCUUUCAAAUUGUUUCGAGUCACUGAAGAGAAUGCACAUGCCUAGAGACGGCACAAUCAGCAUGUCACAGGACCAGGAUCCAUUUAAUAAAGGCCAAGGAGCUGCUGGAGCGAGGGCUUUUAUUCCAGGUAUGCGCCACGUGAUGUGGCAGGAUGCCACCUCUCUGGUGUCCCUGGGUCUAGGCUUUGGCUUGUCUGGGCACUCCUGGAAUUAUGAAUUUGGUUCUAAGUGACAGAUAGCUAAGUCCCAAGCAUGAAGAAGAGAGGUAUGGAUGAUUUAACUAUGCUACUCUUCAGUUAACAAAUAAGGAGUUGAUUUACUAAGUGAGGAUUUGUUUUGAGGAUGGGCAAUGGCAGAUCCGUUGAGAUCUGAGUAUUCCCCAAACUAUAAAAGACCAACCACAGAAGCCAGGAAAGUAAGAAAGGACCGUGGAGGGAGGAGCCCUAGAAGAAGGGAAUAGCAGGAUACAAAUGGACUCAGAAGAUUCAAACUGGAUCUAACCUGGAAAGCCUCCUCUUGGAGGACCGGAUUUCACACACAGGAAGGUGCUUUGCCAGUUGCCAAAGAAGAAAAGCAGUUGGUGUUUGUUGUGGCAGGGCCAGCCUAUAGCAUUCUGCCUGGGCAGGUCAUCUUGAGUUGUCUAAGAAAGUGAACUGAACAAGCCAUGGGAAGCAAGUCAGGAGCUGCAUACCUCCAUCAUCCCUUCUUCAGUUCCUGCCUCCGGGUUCCUUCACGGUGUUCCUACCCCUGUCUUCUC
rnacentral:lncRNA from 1 species